rnacentral:lncRNA from 1 species
ACGCUUCCCCACUGAGGGAAGACCAUGUGACUAUACAACAGGAAGGUAGUUGUUUACAAGCCAGGAAGAGAGCCCUCACCAGAAACCAAAUUGGCUGGCGCCUUGAUCAUGGACUCCUGGGCUCCGGAACUGUAAGAAAAUUUGUGUUGUGGAAGCCACCCAGCCCAUGGUAUUUCGUUAUGGCAGCCUGAGCAGAGGUGGUAGCUAUGUGGACAGUUUUUGGACUUCUCUAUUGUAACACAGGAGGCAACACAGAUUCUUCAAGUCUCACAGCUACUCCCUAGGGAUCACUGGGGAACUUGGAAAAAAUCUAUUGGCUCAGCUAGUGAGCGAUCACUUCCUGUACCACUGUUCUGAGGGCGGACUUCCAGCUCAGGAUCAUGCGAGGGCAUUUUAUGAGAAAACAGAAGCAAAGGCAGAAAGAUGCUACAUUGCCAGCUUUGAAGAUGGAGGGAAGAGGUCACAAACCAAGGAAGGUGAGUGGUGCCUAGAAGUUGGAAAAGACAUGGAAACACAUUCUUCUGUAAAGCACUUAGAAAGAAAUACAGUCUUCCAAAAUGUUGAUCUUAGCCAGGCAAUGAGGACGUUGCACAAGACAGUCCCUGAUACCCAGAGUUUACUGCCUAAGAGAGGAUACAUCCUUCAAACCAAUAAUCUGCUAAUAGCAAGAUCCAAUAGCUUCAUGGAUAUUGAAAGAAACUGAGAAUCAAAUUUGCAUACUUCUGAGUCACUUGGAAACAAAAAACAAGUACAGUCUUAGAUUCUGAGGGAACAAAAAUUAAAAAUCACAUUAGGAAGAGAAUUCCUAAUGUAGGAACUCAUCCUGGAAGAUUCUUCAGCAAAAGUACAGACAAUAAUAAUAAUACUCCAUGAAGUUACCAUCGAUAUUGAAUGAAUUAAUGAAUGUAAAAACCUCAAAACCCUGCCUGGCCCAGAGCUUUGGAAUGGGUUUGGAUCUACCACUCAACUGCUUUAUGACUUCAGACCAGUUAUUUAAAUUCCCUGAAGCUCAGUUUCCACAUCUUUGAGUUUUUAUUAAUGACCUGCCGACAUCAUACAGUUCAUGAAAUGCUCUGGAUGUGUACAUGCUGAUGAUACGACCUCAGACCCAGCAAGAGCUCAGUGCAGCCCGGAGAGCUGUGAGCAGUGCCACAGGAGGAGAUGACUGGUGAGUGAAAUAAGCAAGAUAGGAGUUGAAGUGUACAUGAAGCAGAGUCCAAGCCUUCUCCUUCUGGAUGUUCAGCUGGAUCAUCCUGACUGCUCCCACUUUCAUCUUGGCUUUCAAAGGCAAGAGGAAAUUAUAAGGAAUAUUCUGAGUGGCUUUCAUCCAGGAGUUCUGUGGGACCCGCAACACCUGGAUGGUAGAUGCAAACAGAUAAAGAAUAUUGGUCACCAAAAGGAGUUCUUUUCAUCAUAGAUCUCUGAAGGUAGACACCUAUUUGCAGACUUCUCAAAGGGCUAUAUGGAUGUGCUCUACUUGUUGGAGGAUUGUCCAUCCACUCUUCUUCCUGUACUUACCAGGACAGAACAGCCGCAACUUCUCAGACAGUUCAUUCUUCUUUUCCUCACCUACUACCAUCUAAGAAAGGUACUUGAUGACUGUGGCUUUAGACAAGAGUCCUUUUCUUACCACAGGGUGGGCAGCACCAGCUCAUUAGAACCAUUUGUGUGACUGACUGAAGACAGCUCACCUUGGAACACUGCAGGACCCUAAGAGGAUGGAGGUGGAGUUUUUCUGCUCCUACACCUGGAUAGGCAAGACCAACCACUUACCAGAUGGGGAAUCUUCCAGUGCUAAUAGUUCAGACUGUGCAUACAAGAAACUGAGAGAAGGACCAGUACUGUUUUGUGGUUGCAGGUUGUUCCAUGAUGAGAAUAGGGCCAACCAUAAUGGGAGUAGGCUGGCAGAGACUUACUUGUCUAGUCAUGGGCUUUAUGGCAAAUGUCUCUAACACUUACCACCCAAAGCUAUGCUUAUGGUGUUGCAGUCAACAUCUUACUUUAUGAACUUAUAAUCUAUACUGAUGUUUAUUGUUACUAUGUUUUCCUGUUUACCUGAGAGGGGCCACACCCAAAAGGAGUGUCCUAGAGGUGGAAACAUGUACUACAUGUUCUAUUAUAGCAUUUAUCAUAUUAUAAUAUGAAUAAUAUGCUGCCUCUCUGCACUUCAGCUUAACCCAUGACCUCUCUGAGAACAAGUAACAUGUCGCAUUGACCUUUACAUUACUCCCCAGCACCACUUCUUCACUCUGCCCUAUCCCAAGUCCUUCGACUUUGCCUUAUACAUGUGAUCCUCUCUGAAAUUUGUGUCUAAGAAAUGAUCAAUGAAUAAAUACAUGAUUGAAUCAAUACCUUACUUCCUCCAGAGAUGUUUACUUAUCUUUAAUCACAUCCAUUCUAUGUUUAUGAUUUUAAUUUGUAGGUUAUACUUGAAAACAGUAGCCUGAUAAUAAAUAUAAAUUUAUCAGUUUCUCUCUAUUGAAGUUUCAGAACCCCUUUUGCCUCUUCUCAUUUAUAAUUCCUUUAAAUUAGGUAGGAAAGCAAAAAGGAAAUCUUAGUGAGGCAAAUACUAGCUUCUGCUUCCUAUGUAAGGAGAUAAUGGUACUGACACUAUCAGCUGAGGAUAUUUUAUACUUCAAUGGUUUUGUGAAUGGGAACUAAUCCAUUACUUUCUUAACUUGCUAUCUAUUUACUUUCUUAACCUAUAGGUGCACAGGUGGAUGACUUGGCAGGAGAUGCCAUUUAUGGCCAUGGAACAGUCAAGUUGUUAAGGGGACCAAGAAUGUCAAUGAACUAAAAGUUUCUGGACCAGUUUAUUAGGCAAAAAUUAAAAAUAAAAAUAAUAUUUGAGAACCUAAAAUAAAUUUGAUCUCAACUUGCAUAAUAUCUCUAACUCACUGAGGUUCCACGAAGACAGGAAGCCCAAGAAAAAGAGGUUGAAGAAAAUUAACUCUGAAAAACUUUGGCUGUAGUUAUGCAUUUUGGUAAUUACAGUGAACUAAGAGCAAUAGCUCAACAUAAGGGAUAAAAUGUGUGUCAAGUCUCAAGAAAGUACUCAAACACUUUUUAAAAACUCAGAAAGCAGAACUGUAAAAGGGUAAAUGGUGAGGUGGAGGGAAAAACUUGGAAGGUAAAGGAUGUAAUAAUUAUUUAUUCCUUUUCUAAAACAAAGAUGAAAGGGCCAAGUAUUUAUUAUUCUUUUAUUAAAAUAAGAAUGAUGAAGCUUUACUCCUUUUCCUGCAAUUUUUUUUUUUUUUUUUGGCAAACCUCUCAAAUAUUUUGUAAUAGCUCUAAAGAGAAAAGGUUAUGGUCAUUUUCAUAUCUUCUUUUGUAAAACACUGUUCAAACCUCUUGCCAAUUUUUCCACUGUAUUUUUUGUCUGAUCAAUCUGUGUACAUUCUUCAUAUAUUCUAGACCUAAGCUUGUAAGUUAUGUGUUAUAAAUACCUUUUCCCAUUUUGUGGUUUUA